UACGCAGGGGGCUAGCGUUGUUCGGAUUUACUGGGCGUAAAGCGCACGUAGGCGGCUUGUUAAGUCGGGGGUGAAAUCCUGGAGCUCAACUCCAGAACUGCCUUCGAUACUGGCAAUCUCGAGUCCGGAAGAGGUAAGUGGAACUCCUAGUGUAGAGGUGGAAUUCGUAGAUAUUAGGAAGAACACCAGUGGCGAAGGCGGCUUACUGGUCCGGUACUGACGCUGAGGUGCGAAAGCGUGGGGAGCAAACAGG
rnacentral:rRNA from 1 species